CCCGCAAUGCUCCUUCCCCUCAGUGUAUCUUAUCCGCUUCCUUUCCAGAGCGGCGGCGGAGGACAAGAAGGUGAAGGGCGGCGCGGCGCUCUCCGACUUAUGCCUCCACACCACCUACGUGUCGUCGUUCGUCUGCGCGGUCGCCGGCGGCUACCGCGCCCUGCGCGAGCGCUCGAACUGCUGGUGGAGGGAGAGCAUUCGUGGAGGAGGCAGGGUGAGUAUGCCGUGCGCCAGCGCCGUCGUCGUCCGCAGCACGGUCGCGGAUGAAGCUCUGGAUGGUGCGCGCCGCCACGACCAUGUUGCUCUGGACCUGCGUCAUGCAGCUCACCGCCGUCGGUGAGACGUGGGGCCCCCAGGUUCUCAAGGGAUGGCCCUCCCGCCUCACGGCCCCCGAGGAGGCUGCCGCCGUGCGCCCGGCCGUCAUCGAGAGGGCCGCGUUGCCAUCGCGCAAAACAUAGAUUUCAUCAACCUGGGAAUGGGAUGAUACAGAUUGGUGGUUGGCGUCGAUUUUGCUCGCUUCACUGUGUAACAUCGAGUCUCCACUGCCAGUCCUCUACGAUCUAACCAAUCAGGCCUCCAUCGACGUAAGCUUCUUAAUCUCCGAUAUCCUGCUUCGUGUCUGAUUUGGAUUGAAUUCGUGACCGUGUCCUACUGUCCUUCUCCAACACAAAUCAAUGGAGUGCCUGACCCGGAUUGGACUUCCCUCCUAUAAGAAGGAAGGGUCCUCGACCGGAAUCUCCAUUAGGUUGCGUACUUGGACCGGAAAAUCCAUCAAAUCUCGAAAUACUUGGACGAGAAAAGCAUCAUGUCGCCUUCGACUUCGCCGGAGGUAGAAGAACAUCUGUCGAGCCGUCUAAUAUCGCGGCUACAGCAAAGGUUCAAGGUGAUCAGGUACGGCUCAUGGGCUGCUACAACUAUUAGUGGGACAAAAGGGUUGUGCAUGCACAUGCUUAUUGAUUGAAGGCAUAAUUAUGGGAGAUGGUGCAUGGUCCAGACGAAUAGAUGGAACCCGUCCAGAGAAAAGAAAAAGAAGAAUAAGAAGAAAAUUGUUCUUCGUAAACAAGUACUCCCUCCAUCCCACUUAUGUUGGGACGGAAUACAUAUUACAUCAUAUGUAACCGGAGAAUGGCGGCAUGUCAAGAUCAGGCAAGAACUCUGAUGCCUGUGUGCACUUGCUGAAUAUAGAUGAUUGUGAUGGCCUUAUUCCUUGGAUGUGUAGGGAGCUUCAACCUGAUUAGUGCUGAUUUGGGGAGUAAAGCUCUUCGAGCAAGUGACAAAUCAUGUCUUUCGAGCAUCUCAAAGAUGGACGACCUGGAGUCAUUUGACUGGCAGCUUAAAAGCAAUUAAAGUGAACAGAGGAAUCAAACUUUAAAGCCACUCUUGCCAUUUGUGGACUGUUCCUGCUUGUUGGUGACUGCUUUUGCGAGUAUGUUCACUCUCAUCUAGCGAUGAAAUAUUUUGUUUCUAUUGCGCAGCUGCUGAAAGGGCAAACCCCGGAUCCUAGAUAUCUGUGGGUUUUGGGUGCCCUCUAGGGUUACCUGGAUGUUCCUAUUUCUGUUUUCUUCUUCCCUUUUUAGUUUUCUUCAUGCUGUAGAUGAACUUUUGGUUUCUGUUAAUAGAAUUCACAGAGAAGGUUCUCUUUUAGAAAAUCUAAUGAGGGGGAGACUGAAUGACCGAGUGUAGAUGACACUGACCAAGUUUAUUAGUAUGUGAUCCUACAUAUCGCUCCA